GACGAACGCUGGCGGCGUGCUUAACACAUGCAAGUCGAACGGAAAGGCCCUGCUUGCCGGGUACUCGAGUGGCGAACGGGUGAGUAACACGUGGGUGAUCUGCCCUGCACUUCGGGAUAAGCCUGGGAAACUGGGUCUAAUACCGGCUAGGAGCCAUUUUUAGUGUGAUGGUUGGAAAGUUUUUUCGGUGUAGGAUGAGCUCGCGGCCUAUCAGCUUGUUGGCGGGGUAAUGGCCUACCAAGGCGGCGACGGGUAGCCGGCCUGAGAGGGUGGACGGCCACAUUGGGACUGAGAUACGGCCCAGACUCCGACGGGAGGCAGCAGUGGGGAAUACUGCACAAUGGGCGCAAGCCUGAUGCAGCGACGCCGCGUGGGGGAUGACGGCCUUCGGGUUGUAAACUCCUUUCGCUAGGGACGAAGCUUUUUGUGACGGUACCUAGAUAAGAAGCACCGGCUAACUACGUG
rnacentral:rRNA from 1 species